rnacentral:lncRNA from 13 species
GUUAUAUAAGUGUUCACCUUUAUUUUUUGUAUUUAGAAUGGGGCUUCAUGCUAGUGUGAGAAUUUCUGCCUGGAUGCCCUGACCACUCCAUAAAUCUAAAUAAAGCCUCACAAUGUUCCAAAUACUAUGACAAGUGGAGGAUACAGAGGAUAGUGAGUAGGAGCAUAAAAUCUGAAGCAGACCUGACUACAUCUGAAUCCUGGUACUACUAAUGGUGGGAUGCAGACAGAUCGGUGAGGCAUGUUGCAAAACACCAGCAAGAGAUCCAGGGCUCACUCCUGGGGCUGACUCUGAUUAGACCCUUGCUGACCACAGUUCAAGUAGAUGAAAAGGGUGAGUGUAUUCUGAUGGAAUUCUCCUU